GUGCCAGCAUCGGUCUGUGUUUUGGUAUGUAGACAGCUAUGGCAAAUAAAGAUGAAAACUCUCAAGGUAGAUAGUGUAGAUAGAGGUAGAUAGAUACUCUACCUCAGGCAAAACCUAGAGACUUCCUUAGACAUUGUCCAGCAGCUGUUGUUCACAUAUAUGCAUAGGCCCCGCCCUGUGUCUUACCAGAGGCUGCUGUUCUGUCCUGCUGAUGGAGUGUAUAACCUGCCAGCUGUAUGUUCUUAAUGUCGUCGUUCAGCCACGGCUCGGUGAAACAUACGAUUUUACAGUUUUUAAUGUCCCGUUGGUAGGAUAUACAUGAUUUCAGUUCGUCCCAUUUAUUUUCCAGCAAAUGAACAUUAGCUAGCAGGAUGGAAGGUAAGGGCAGAUUAUCCACUCGUCGCCUGAUCCUCACAAGGCACCCGGAUCUUUUUCCACUAAAUUUCCAUUUCCUUCUCCAGCGAAUCCCGGGGAUCUCGGCCUGGUCGGGUGUUUGUUGUUGUAUAUCCCUCCUGUCUGAAGAAGAAGAACUCUUCGUCCAGUUUGAGACACAGAAAGCUGUGACGGCCUGUAUGCAGAUGAAGAGCCGUGGUUCUCAGUCUGGUCCUGGGGACUCAAAGGGGUGUACAUGUUUGUUUUUUGCCUUAGCUUCAAGUGGUAUUUAUGUAUUCAUUUGUGAUGCUAUCCUUGAUAUGAUCCUGCAUUUGUCACAUGCUAUACAUGCACAUGUGUGUGCUCAUGCAUCUAUCUAUCCAAUGUUAUCAUGAUUUGUUUUAAGAUAUAUUAUAGUGUAGUAAUCCACAAUAACCUGGUGAUGUAAAAGUCUAGUAAUUACAUUAUCUUCCAUAUUCCUACAGAUAUCUUGCAACUGGAGAUUCCAUCAAAACGAUUGCCUACAGUUACCGUGUAGGGCACUGCACGGUUGGGUGACCAGGACCAUCUGAGACUGCCUCGUGGGGGAAUUCUUCCAUUUACUUAGCUAUGUCAACUGCAGUUAUUCAAAUCCCAUUUUCUUGCCCUUCGACUGUACAAAAACAGGCUCUUUUAAGAUUGGAAAAAUAUAGAACAAUUAGACACCCUACAACCCACACCUACAUUGUAUCAAUCUGAUUGAUGUAUUGUGUUGUUCAGUAAGCAGGAUCAGGUGUAUAGAUGUGGCUCCUUCUACUUUCAGAGAAUAGGCAAGAGGACCAACCAUGGAGAAUGAAUCCCUUGACAUCGGCUGUAUCUGUGACCCUCUCCCGCUUCUGAACUGCCUGACACAGAGAGCACAGCAUGAUCAGAGGUAUCUUUUGAUGUGAGCGGAUGACAACUCCCAACCCUCGGGCCAAUUGGGGGCCCAAUGCUUGGGUGCUGUAGGUGUCCUGGAGGGCAGGCAGUGUGCCCCUGGUGAUGCGUUGGACCAACCGCACCACCCUCUGGAGAGCCCUGUGGUUGCAGGCGGUGCAGUUGCCAUACGAGGUGGCGAUACAGCCCGACAGGAUGCUCUCAAUUGUGUAUCUGUAAAGAUUUGUGAGGGUCUUAGGUGCCAAGCUGAAUUUCUUCAGCUUCCUGAGGUUGAAGGAGUUUUUGCACCUUCUUCACCACACUGUCUGUGGGUGGACCAUUCAAGAUUGUCAGUGAUGUGUACGCUGAGGAAUUUAAAACUUUCCACCUUCUCCUCUGCGGUCCCGUUGAUGUGGAUAGGCCCGUGCUCCCUCUGCUGUUUCCUGAAGUCCACGAUCAGCUCCAUUUUGUUGAGGGAGAGUUAUUUUCCUGGCACCACUCUCCCAGGGCCCUCACCUCCUCCCUGUAGGCUGUCUCAUCAUUGUUUGUAAUCAGGCCUACUACUGUUGUCAUCUGCUGAGUUGCAGAGUGAGAAUGUGUAACCAUUGAUGUCCCAGAACCAGGAUUGGUAUACACUGUCGAAGUGUAUAAUAGUAAUACAUACACGCAGACACAGCAUCAUUCAAAGACUGGAGUUUAAUACUCCUAUUGGAUAUGACUGAAAAAUAAUGUCUCACAUACAUUCAUAAUUGAACCGCACCUUUAUUUUUUUCAAGGUCGUGCAUUAUCAUUGAAUAUAUCCAAUGUAUAGGCUACAGUGUGGUGACUCAUGCUUGGUAAUAACUACGCUCUAUGUAUGUAUACAGUGGCAGAGCCCCACCUGUUUUGAGCCCCACCUGUUUAGCUAAGAAAAACAAAUAAUAAAAAAAAGUUUUUUUGUGUUGCUGUUUUGCACACCAUUUUGGCAUUAA